rnacentral:rRNA from 1 species
UAGGGAAUUUUCGUCAAUGGGCGCAAGCCUGAACGAGCGAUGCCGCGUGAGUGAAGAAGGCCUUCGGUCGUAAAGCUCUGUUGCGGGGGAAAAAAGGGACAGCAUCAGGAAAUGGGUUGCUGACUGAUGGUGCCCC